rfam:Myotis davidii contig92483, whole genome shotgun sequence.
GCCGGCGUGGCUCAAUGGAUAGAGCGUUGGCCUGCAGACUGAAGAUUGCAGGUUCAAUUCCCGUCAAGGGCA